CCCACACCCAUGUGUGUAGGACCCCAAAGGAUCACCAUUAAAUUUGGCACAGAUCUCUAGAAAAGUUAUCACAUAGGUGUGGGAUUUGACUUUUCUAGAGAUCUGUGUCAAAUUUAAUGGUGAUCCUUUAGGGCACUAUACACAUGGGUGUGGG
rfam:Amborella trichopoda AMTR_V1.0_contig_42848, whole genome shotgun sequence.